rnacentral:rRNA from 1 species
CCCUUAGAUGUUCUGGGCCGCACGCGCGCUACACUGACGAAGGCAACGAGUCCCUUGGCCGGAAGGUCCGGGUAAUCUGCUAAACUUCGUCGUGAUGGGGAUAGAUUAUUGCAAUUAUUAAUCUUCAACGAGGAAUUCCUAGUAAGCGCGAGUCAUCAGCUCGCGUUGAUUACGUCCCUGCCCUUUGUACACACCGCCCGUCGCUCCUACCGAUUGAAUGGUCCGGUGAAGCGUUCGGAUGUGUGAGGCGAGACGGUCCGCCGUCCCUCCUCGUGCAGAAGUUCGUUAAACCUUAUCAUUUAGAGGAAGGAGAANUCGUANCA